rnacentral:rRNA from 1 species
CCAAUAGCGUAUAUUAAAGUUGUUGCAGUUAAAAAGCGCGUAGUUGAAUUUCGGGAUCAAUCUAUCGGUCGUGCAAUAGUACGUACUGAUUUUAUUGAUUCCUCCCUUCUGAUGAACUAUGAUGUCAUUAAUUUGGUGUCAUAGGGAAUCAGGACUGUUACUUUGAAAAAAUUAGAGUGUUUAAAGCAGGCUCACGCUUGAAUACAUUAGCAUGGAAUAACGAAAUAGGACGUUUGAUUCUAUUUUGUUGGUUUCUAGGAUCGACGUAAUGAUUAAUAGGGAUAGUUGGGGGCAUUAGUAUUCAAUUGUCAGAGGUGAAAUUCUUGGAUUUAUUGAAGACUAACUACUGCGAAAGCAUUUGCCAAGGAUGUUUUCAUUAAUCAAGAACGAAAGUUAGGGGAUCGAAGACGAUCAGAUACCGUCGUAGUCUUAGCCAUAAACUAUGCCGACUAGGGAUCGGAUGAUGUUAAUUUUUUAAUGACCCAUUCGGCGCCUUACG